rnacentral:rRNA from 1 species
AAAUUGAAGAGUUUGAUCAUGGCUCAGAUUGAACGCUGGCGGCAGGCCUAACACAUGCAAGUCGAACGGUAACAGGAAUCAGCUUGCUGAUUCGCUGACGAGUGGCGGACGGGUGAGUAAUGUCUGGGAAACUGCCUGAUGGAGGGGGAUAACUACUGGAAACGGUAGCUAAUACCGCAUAAUGUCGCAAGACCAAAGAGGGGGACCUUCGGGCCUCUUGCCAUCGGAUGUGCCCAGAUGGGAUUAGCUUGUUGGUGG